CCUACGGGAGGCAGCAGUAGGGAAUCUUCCGCAAUGGACGAAAGUCUGACGGAGCAACGCCGCGUGAACGAUGAAGGCCUUCGGGUCGUAAAGUUCUGUUGUUAGGGAAGAACAAGUGUUAGUUGAAUAAGCUGGCACCUUGACGGUACCUAACCAGAAAGCCACGGCUAACUACGUGCCAGCAGCCGCGGUAAUACGUAGGUGGCAAGCGUUGUCCGGAAUUAUUGGGCGUAAAGCGCGCGCAGGCGGUUUCUAAGUCUGAUGUGAAAGCCCCCGGNUCAACCGGGGAGGGUCAUUGGAAACUGGGAAACUUGAGUGCAGAAGAGGAAAGUGGAAUUCCAAGUGUAGCGGUGAAAUGCGUAGAGAUUUGGAGGAACACCAGUGGCGAAGGCGACUUUCUGGUCUGUAACUGACGCUGAGGCGCGAAAGCGUGGGGAGCAAACAGGAUUAGAUACCCUGGUAGUCCACGCUGUAAACGAUGAGUGCUAAGUGUUAGAGGGUUUCCGCCUUUAGUGCUGAAGUUACGCAUUAAGCACUCCGCCUGGGGAGUCGGUGCAAGCNGAAACUCAAAUGAAUUGACGGNUUGAGNGNGCGAGACGACGACGAGGAGAGG
rnacentral:rRNA from 1 species